rnacentral:tRNA from 1 species
AAGGUAGUAGUUUAUAUUAAUAAAAUAUUUAAUUUGCAAUUAUAAGAAGUCAAUUCAGCCCUAUCUAA